GGCCUGAUGGUCUAGGCGUAUGAUUCGUUGUUAGGGUGUAGAAGAAACUUCCUUUCGACGAGGUCCCGGGUUCAAUUCCCGGUCAGGCCC